AUGGCCCCUCCGCCUCCGCCUCCGCUGUCGGCCAUCCCGUCCCGGCUCCACCGCAUCCGGCCGCCGCCGCUGGCCCCGCCCCGCCCGGCGACCAUCCUGCCGUCGCCGGCCCAGCCGACUCUCUCCCCUCUCCCGGCGCUCCCUUCCGUCUGCAUGUCGGCGGAGUCCCCCAUCUCGGCCUACAUGCGCCGGCUCCGCGGGAUGCCGUCGCCGAUCCUCGUGCCCACAUCGCCGCUCGGGUUCGGCUGCCUCCACUCGCCGCGGGCGCCGACGUCUCCCGGCGUGGCCAUGCCGGCCACCAGCCCCCGCGUCCGCGACCCGUGA
rnacentral:rRNA from 1 species